AUGUCAAAGUCUCAACCUGAUGCUACCCUCCCUCAUUCUCCUAAAGUGCCCAACUCUUCAUGCAAAGCUUCUACAUCUGGUGAUGCUAAAGGUACCAGUGAUGCUGAAUAUGUAAGUAAUUUUUGCUGAGAAUUUAGGUAGGUGCAUACUCAAAUGUGUUUUUUAAAAACAAUUUAUAUUGAAACACUCUUUUUAUGUGAUUGCAACCACAGGUGGAGAUAGCACAUGCUACAGGAGUAAAAAUUCUUAAACAUCAGUGGGCUGCUGCUCUUCAGGCCAAAACACCCACUUCAAUGGUGCGUGUUCUUCUGAUGGCUGCCUUCCCACUGGAGGUUUUGAUCCAGAGCAAUUUAAAAGGACACAGCAAAACAGACAUCGGCGCAGAGCGAAGAACUGCCCUUGAUAAAGAAACCAUGACAGCCAUAUAUAUGGCAGUCAGGAAGAGGUUCCCCAAUGUAUCCA
ensembl:lncRNA